rnacentral:rRNA from 1 species
AUUGAACGCAGGCGGUAGGCCUAACACAUGCAAGUCGAACGCGAAAGUCCUUCGGGAUGAGUAGAGUGGCGGACGGGUGAGUAACGCGUAGGAAUCUAUCCUGUAGUGGGGAUAACGUUUCGAAAGGAACGCUAAUACCGCAUACGCCCACGGGGGAAAGCGGGGGAUCUUCGGACCUCGUGCUAUAGGAGGAGCCUGCGUCGGAUUAGCCUAGUUGGUGAGGUAAAGGCUCACCCAAGGCGACGAUCCGUAGCUGGUCUGAGAGGAUGAUCAGCCACACCGGAACUGAGACACGGUCCGGGCUCCUACGGGAGGCAGCAGUGGGGGAAUAUUGCGCAAUGGGCGAAAGCCUGACGCAGCCAUACCGCGUGCGUGAAGAA